rnacentral:rRNA from 1 species
GCAGUGGGGAAUAUUGCACAAUGGGCGCAAGCCUGAUGCAGCCAUGCCGCGUGUGUGAAGAAGGCCUUAGGGUUGUAAAGCACUUUCAGCGAGGAGGAAGGGUUCAGUGUUAAUAGCACUGUGCAUUGACGUUACUCGCAGAAGAAGCACCGGCUAACUCCGUGCCAGCAGCCGCGGUAAUACGGAGGGUGCAAGCGUUAAUCGGAAUUACUGGGCGUAAAGCGCACGCAGGCGGUUUGUUAAGUCAGAUGUGAAAUCCCCGAGCUUAACUUGGGAACUGCAUUUGAAACUGGCAAGCUAGAGUCUUGUAGAGGGGGGUAGAAUUCCAGGUGUAGCGGUGAAAUGCGUAGAGAUCUGGAGGAAUACCGGUGGCGAAGGCGGCCCCCUGGACAAAGACUGACGCUCAGGUGCGAAAGCGUGGGGAGCAAACAGGAUUAGA